GACGAACGCUGGCGGCGUGCUUAACACAUGCAAGUCGAACGGAAAGGCCCUGCUUUUGUGGGGUGCUCGAGUGGCGAACGGGUGAGUAACACGUGAGUAACCUGCCCUUGACUUUGGGAUAACUUCAGGAAACUGGGGCUAAUACCGGAUAGGAGCUCCUGCUGCAUGGUGGGGGUUGGAAAGUUUCGGCGGUUGGGGAUGGACUCGCGGCUUAUCAGCUUGUUGGGGGGGUAGUGGCUUACCAAGGCUUUGACGGGUAGCCGGCCUGAGAGGGUGACCGGCCACAUUGGGACUGAGAGACGGCCCAGACUCCUACGGGAGGCAGCAGUGGGGAAUAUUGCACAAUGGGCGGAAGCCUGAUGCAGCAACGUCGCGUGCGGGAUGACGGCCUUCGGGUUGUAAACCGCUUUCGCCUGUGACGAAGCGUGAGUGACGGUAAUGGGUAAAGAAGCACCGGCUAACUACGUG
rnacentral:rRNA from 1 species